CCAGUGCUUCAAGUAUAGUAACCUCUGGCCUACAUCAGCUCAGUGUGCCCUGUGGAUCAGUUUCCUUGCUGAUACUCUACUCAUAAAAUGUCACUUAAUUUUCUCAAGUCAACAGUAGGGUUGGCUCCCCUCUUCCCAAGUUACAAAAGAAAACCUGGAGGCUGUCAUAAUCCAUUUUUCGUUGUUGUUGUUGUUGUUGUUGUUGCUGCUGUUGUUGCUAUAAGAAAGCAUCUGAAACUGAGUAGCUUAUAAACAACAGAGGGUUUGGAGUUCAUAGUCCAGGAGGCUGGAUGUCCAAAGGCAUGGACACAGCAUCUGUUGAAAGCCUUAUGUUAUGUCAUAAUAUGGCAUGGAAUGUCCCAUGGAAACAGAACGUCCCUGCCAGCUCAGACUCCUGGAUCUCUUCUUAGAGAGCCAUUAAUAUCAAAAUAGGGGGUCCUACCCUGAUGACCUCCUCUGAUCUUAGUGGCCUCCCCAAAAGCCCCACCUCCAAACACCAUGAAUAUGUGUGGGUAUUAAGCUUACAAUGCGUGAGCCAUGACAGAAGCUGUAGAGGGAUGGCAGAUGGGCUGGAAGAGGAACAGCCAUGAUGGGCUGGCCCCUCCCGCUCUUUCCUUUCCAGGCCAGGUUACGGGAGCCGUGAGCAUGGGAGAGAUCUGGUUUGGCGGGAGUGUAAACCCUGACCAACGCGCUCCAGCUUUGGAGGGCCGGUUAUCGGUGGCUCAUUCCCAACUCCAGGAAGGCAGUUUUUGGAUACUGCAGGGGUGUAGACUAGGAUAUCUCAGACUUAGAAGAGCUGAAGAGCCUAGGAGCGCCCUUCGUACCCCCAGCCCCCGAGGCCAUUUUGCCUUUGUUCUCACUCAGGCUUCUGGACCUUGUGGCAUCGCUCACAUUAAAGGCAACAUGAGAUCACAGGGGCUCCGUGGACACAGCCUUCAGGGCCAGCGGAAGCUCCUCUUUAGAGGCCGUCCAUCAGUGCACACCUUCCCCCCAGGAGCCCAUCAACUUGAACAGCCACAGUCAGGGGCACAGAGCCCAUGAUACUCACCAACCUUUGCCUGGCCACUUAGCCUUUUUACAACUCCAUGUCCCUUCCAAUAAAACAGAACAUUCUAGAUGUGAACUCUCU
rnacentral:lncRNA from 1 species